GUGUUUUGUGUGUUUGUUUUAUUUAUUUGCAGUUUACAUGCUUUCUCGGUACACAACAAUUAGUAUCAGAACAUAGAGAUGAUCUUGGUGAGUUUGAUUAAAAGUGGAGCUACUAUGACAUAUAAAAAGUCGCACAUGCAACAAUAGUGAUGGUCAAAAGUUGAAAUUAAUGUGAAAUUUUUUAUGAGAAAUCAAGAUGGUUAAUGACGUGAAGUUUUUUUUAAGAAUGAAACAAAUUACACCCAAGAUGAAGAUUGAAAA
rnacentral:misc_RNA from 1 species